UGAAAUAGAAAAAUAGUUUUCUCUUUUCCCCGGAAUUCAAUUUCUUCUCCUAUUCUCUCCAUUCAUGCGAUGCUAAGCCGCAUGGGAUCCUCCUCCUCAUUCGAUCAAUCGCUCAGAAAUUCCCCCACCCACUUCUUCUUUUUCCACAAAGUUUGACUCUUUAUUUGAGACUGCUUGAAUUUCCUUCGCCAAGGUUUCGGCUUUAGAAAGAUCAACAGGAAGAUGAGGGUUGCAAAGUCUCAGGUGUGGCAACCGUGUAAAAAGAAGAGAUCUUGAUACCCGCUCUAAUCUAACUCAUAUACACGGAGAAAGAAAGAAAGUAAAAGAAGUUAUAGUCGGAGCAAGAAGAAAAAGAAGAUGACGUCACGUAGCGGCGGCAGCAGCAGCCGUGCUGGUGGCGGGACGAAGGUGGGGAAAUACGAGAUGGGUCGGACACUUGGAGAGGGAAACUUCGCAAAGGUGAAGUUCGCCAGGAACUUGGAGACAGGGGAGAACGUGGCCAUCAAGAUCCUUGACAAAGAGAAAGUUCUCAAGCACAAGAUGAUAAACCAGAUAAAACGAGAAAUAUCCACAAUGAAACUGGUUAGACACCCCAAUAUCAUACGUUUGCAUGAGGUGAUGGCUAGCAAGACAAAGAUAUACAUUGUGUUGGAACUUGUGACCGGCGGGGAACUGUUUGAUAAAAUUGCAAGCCAAGGGAGGCUGAAAGAAGACGAAGCAAGGAAAUAUUUUCAGCAGCUUAUAUGUGCUGUUGAUUACUGUCACAGUAGAGGUGUUUGCCACAGAGACUUGAAGCCUGAGAAUUUGUUGCUGGGUGCUGAUGGAGGGCUUAAAGUGUCAGAUUUUGGAUUGAGUGCACUGCCUCAACAAGUUCGAGAAGAUGGGCUGCUUCACACAACAUGUGGUACGCCAAAUUAUGUUGCCCCAGAGGUGAUAAAAAAUAAAGGCUAUGAUGGUGCAAAGGCUGAUCUCUGGUCAUGUGGUGUUAUUCUCUUUGUUUUAAUGGCUGGUUAUUUGCCCUUUGAAGACAACAACCUUAUGAAUUUAUAUAAAAAGAUUUUCAAUGCUCAGUACGAUUGUCCUCCAUGGUUUUCUUCAAGUGCCAAAAAACUAAUCAAGAAAAUCCUCGAUCCCAAUCCUGCUACGCGGAUUACAAUUCCUGAGUUAAUUGAGAAUGAGUGGUUCAAGAAGGGGUACAAGCCUCCUCGAUUUGAGCAGGAAGAUGUCAGUCUUGAUGAUAUAAAUGCUAUAUUCAGUGAAGCAAUGGAUGCACACAAUCUUGUUGUGGAAAGGCGAGAAGAGGAGUCAGUGGCUCCUGUGACUAUGAAUGCAUUUGAGCUUAUCUCUACAUCCCAGGGCCUCAACCUCAGAAAUCUUUUCCAGAAGCAGAUGGGACUUGUUAAAAGGGAGACAAGAUUCACAUCCAAAUGUUCAGCAAAUGAGAUAAUCUCAAAAAUUGAGCAGGCUGCAGGUCCUCUGGGUUUUGAUGUUAAGAAGAACAACACUAAGUUGAAGAUUCAAGGGGAAAAAAGUGGACGAAAAGGUCAUCUAGCAGUAGCAACUGAGAUCUUGGAGGUGGCCCCUCAACUUAACAUGGUUGAGCUUCGAAAAUGUGGAGGAGACACAUUGGAAUUUCACAAGUGGGUUGUUUAUGACUUAAUAUUUACAGUUCUAUAAGAAUCUAUCUGUUGGCCUGAAAGACAUCAUUUGGAAAGCAGAACCUAUUGAUGAAGAUUUGGAUGCAGAUACAGGUACAGGAAAAGGUGCAGCUAGUAAUUCUAAAUAAUGUGUUGCUGAAGUCUUCGUUUUAGUGCCUACAUAGACCAGUUUGUGUUCAUUACCUUUAUUUGUUUGAAUUUGGUGGGAUCAUGGUAUUAUGUGAAAUAAGGUUAAUGAGUAAUUAAGUUCAGCUAAGUAGAAAUUCAAAAAUAGAAGUUUGCUGGCUUUGUUUUGUGGUAUUGUAUUUUGUUUUUGUAAAUUGUACUAAUUAUGGAGGCAAAGACACUUUUGAUAAGGCAAUAAUGUCAAUUCCUUGUAGCCUUUCAGUGUUCAU